rnacentral:lncRNA from 1 species
CGCACACGCUGGUCUCCUCGCCCCCGCUGCGGCUCUCGGGCCCGCUGUCUGCGUCCUCCGCACCUUCCCCCGGGGCGGCUGCAAGACCAAGAGAGGGGCCGCGCUGUGGCCGGUGUGGUCCCCACCACGCGGAUUUCUCAUCUUUACGCAGCGCGGAGACAUUCCAGAUUUAAGAUGGAGUGAUGGCAACAAAUCAGUUCCAACAGACACAAUGACAGCUGCACAUCAGCUCUUUGUUAAACGCGCACAGUUGAGUGUGAGAACAAAACAUCUUCAAGUCUGUGUCCCCGGAAAUAAUUUACUGUUAGAACAUCAACAAAUGCAGCAUUUGCUAAAAAGCUCCACAUUUGUUGUUGAUGUUUAGGGUUCUGGAAAAAGAAUAAUUUAGCACUGAGUUCAAUAGAGAAUUCUGAUUUUUAAAAAAAUGUCCUGUAAAAACAUACUUUUCCUCUACUUGAAAAGAAAAAUAUUUUUUGAGGCUAGUUUGUGACUCACCAUGAGGCCAUUAUUCUCAGGUAAUUUAUACAUGCCUUUAAAAAAUUAUUAGCAGUGUUCAAUUAGCAUUUUCUUAACUGGCUAAACCAUCUGAAGGGGAAAGAAGUUAGAGCUUGCAGCCCAUAAAGCCUGCUAGACUUUUAAACUAAAUUCAGCGCCGAAGACCAGACUGCAGCAAGAGGUCUCAUUACUGUAUGGAGGAAGGAAUGUAAUAGGUAUCUGUAAUGAGGUUGACUAUAGCUGGAAGCAAAGACACAGCUGAUUUAUACUGCAGAUAGGCACAUUAGCAAAAUAAAUACUCCAAGUACUCAACUUUGCUCAAUGUAUGCAAAAUCUAAUUUUAAACCCGCAAAGGUUAUGGAAUAGGGCAAAGAACAAAAAGAGCCUCAAAUCUUCAGGUAAUUUCUUAAUGACUGAUAAAAAGGCCUAUCUCAAAAUCUAGUCAUGUAUCUUAAAAAUAAUCACAAAAUGCAAAGAAUUUCUACUUUUAAAUUUCUUUUUAAGAGUGGAAUGUUCUUCAGCAGCCCUGAAUGUUUAAAAACAAAAAUCUAAGUAGCCACUUAAAAAGUUCAUCUGCAUUAAACCAUCCAUACACAUCUAUAUGGCACAGAAAUAACUACUGUAACUAAACAAGGAACAGAGUGUUUUAAGGGGUUUUCCAAUAUUUUGAAACAAUGAUACAAAAUAUUUUAAAAAGGAACAUCCCAAGAAAUUAAAUGCUUGUUAAUUCCUUGAAACAUUUUUUACACUUAACUCCUUACAGGAGAUAAAAUGUAUAACUUAUAUGCUACACAAAAACAUUCAGGUAGUAUAUAUAGUUACAGUUUUACAAAGUGUGUAUCUUAUUAAAAGAAUACUUUUUCUUUAUAGGGAAUGUGUAUUAGGGACAGUUCAUUGAGAAAAAUGCUUUAAAAUUAGGUUGAUCCUUGGAUCAUUUCAAGUGAGUUUAGUGUUGAAAGAAUUAACUUACAUAACCACAGAUACAUUUUAUCUUUAAAAAUGAACAUUUCCCAGAUUUUGUCACAAACCAUAGUGUGUGAUAAAUAUCACUUUUGUUUUUCACAAAGAUCUUGUGCUUUUUGCAAAGGUCCUGACCCAAACAAAUCUCUAUUUACCUUAACAAUUUGCAUUUUUACAUUCCCAUUAGUUUUUUUUAAAUAUGUUAAAUAUUUUUAGGGUUCACUUCCUAAUUCAUGGAUGUUGGGAAGUGUUUCCACAUGUGAUUUCACUUUUCCCAUUGGUAAGUUUGCUAAAUUGCAACUGUUUCUCGAUUGUGGAAACCGUGCGUAGAAUGUUUAAGCACUUUCUGCCACAUAGUAAGUCAUUUUGUUUAAAGCAAUUAUAAGUGAUAAUUACCAAUACAAUGAAGAUAUUCUUUUCAAAGUAAAAUAAGCUUCCAUUUAUUCCUUCAAAAUUGAAAAAGGAAAUUGUGUUAAAAAAUGUCAUUGUGACCAUUUGGACCUGUUAACAGUUCAUUUUGUUAAUGAGCCCAAGGAAACAGACUAUGCUGGAUUUUAUAAGCAAAGCUCCGUAAUAAAUUUGGCUUUUGACUAAAACAGACCUUAAAGGUUAUUAUUAAUGAAGGAAAAAAAUUUCAAUACAACUCAGAUUAUUUCAGGCAAAUCAGGAUCAUCAUCUAUAUUUUCUAUUGAGGUGUGUAUAAAAUAUCAAUGUGAUCACCUCAAUUGUUCUCGCGUGCCCCAGCUGUGACUGUGUCUCACUAUCAACAUUUGAAUGUGAUUAGCAUUCCAUAAAAGUUGUAGAUAAGAACGAAUUUCACAACAUAGCCCCGAAUAAAAGAAAUACAGGUAAAAACACUCACGUGUGGAAUUGAAACAAUCACAUAUGGAAUUGAAAUUCUGUCUGCAUACUUCAAGAAUGUUAUUAAACAAUAGUAAGCACUUGACUGAACUGGUUGUAGGAAAUAACCAAAGUGAACAUAUUUUACUAAGGACAGAGUUUCCUGAGAACUAGAAAGACAUUUUGCUGGCUUGCAGACUGAGGAGUGCUGGCUUCUGAUGCAUUCUGAAGAAUAAGUUCUUAUAAACUGCUUCCAUGGCCCUUCUCAUGAUGAUGAUUAAAUGCAUAUAUUACAGUGUUUAUGUGCCAAUCUGACAUUAUUUACUUACGUUUAAGUGCUGUCUAUAACAAGCAAACCCAUAUGGGAAAAAUCUGCAUUUAGUCCACAAUUUUAUCAUAUAAACUUCUAAAGCCCUUUAAUCCUGCCAUCAUUUAAAGCCAGUAUUAUGUCAGAUUCAAAUGUAUUUAACCACCUUUUUAAAUUAAACUUGUAUUUUGAACUGGCCUGUAUGCAUGUUCCAAAAAUAGAAGUUAUUACAUUAAUUAAUAUGGCCUAAACUUUUUAUGUCAAGGCAAAACCAUGUCAGCGAGGCACUGUAACAACAGUACAACAGUGACAAGUUUGAGAAAUUUAUUUCCAAUGCAAUUUUCAUUUUCUUCCUCUCUUUGUUUAAGGGGCGAAUUAAAAAGCAAGCAUUGCAAACAUUAUCAUUAAUGUCAAAGGAACUUAUUUUUUGCACACUAUUCAACAGCUAAGAGACGUGAAACUGUAAACAGGCAGGGGAUGGGCAGGAAUGGGAUUUUAUUAGAACAAGUUAAGAAAAAUGCCAACCAGUUCACCAACUAACAGAACUUAGCGAACACUCUUCCCUUCUUGGUGAAUGAGAGUAUCUGGCCAGGGCUACUUUUAGGAAGUACCAACCCAUUUGCUUCUAUGUGAACGUGAAGGUGGCCUCAGGACCUGCUCUGCCACAACCCGCCUUAGCUGAUCUCAAAUUAAGUAUCACACCCAUGGUGCCAUGUUGGCCAUCUGCACUACACAGGAUAAAAAUAUAGUUUUUUUUUCCAUUUAAUUUACAGUGAUCCCAAUAUCUGCUGUUUACACCUAGAUUUUCAGGGCCUCUAUUACCAUGUGCACAUUCCUUCCUGUCUGUGUUUCUCAGUUGUACAGAAGAGGGGAGGAAGGUCCCACAGGCCUUUCAGAGAAAACCUCUAACAAAAGCAUAGCUUCAAAGACGAUAGUUAAAAAAAAUAUGUAUUUUCCCCUUCUAACUAAUAAAAUAUACACAGAAUGUUUAACAAAAAUGUUCCUAUUCUUAGGAGUGACUCUUGGUGUGAAAGGAACCCCUCAGACUGUCUGUUUUUGGUCUUCGCUCAGCUUUAAUCCCUGGUCUGUUAUAG